rnacentral:rRNA from 1 species
GACGAACGCUGGCGGCGUGCCUAAUGCAUGCAAGUAGAACGCUGAAGCUUGGUGCUUGCACCGAGCGGAUGAGUUGCGAACGGGUGAGUAACGCGUAGGUAACCUGCCUGGUAGCGGGGGAUAACUAUUGGAAACGAUAGCUAAUACCGCAUAAGAGUAGAUGUUGCAUGACAUUUGCUUAAAAGGUGCAAUUGCAUCACUACCAGAUGGACCUGCGUUGUAUUAGCUAGUUGGUGAGGUAACGGCUCACCAAGGCAACGAUACAUAGCCGACCUGAGAGGGUGAUCGGCCACACUGGGACUGAGACACGGCCCAGACUCCUACGGGAGGCAGCAGUAGGGAAUCUUCGGCAAUGGACGGAAGUCUGACCGAGCAACGCCGCGUGAGUGAAGAAGGUUUUCGGAUCGUAAAGCUCUGUUGUAAGAGAAGAACGAGUGUGAGAGUGGAAAGUUCACACUGUGACGGUAUCUUACCAGAAAGGGACGGCUAACUACGUG